CAGCAGUGGGGAAUAUUGGACAAUGGGCGGAAGCCUGAUCCAGCCAUGCCGCGUGUGUGAAGAAGGCCUUUUGGUUGUAAAGCACUUUAAGCGAGGAGGAGGCUACCGAGAUUAAUACUCUAGGAUAGUGGACGUUACUCGCAGAAUAAGCACCGGCUAACUCUGUGCCAGCAGCCGCGGUAAUACAGAGGGUGCGAGCGUUAAUCGGAUUUACUGGGCGUAAAGCGUGCGUAGGCGGCUUCUUAAGUCGGAUGUGAAAUCCCUGAGCUUAACUUAGGAAUUGCAUUCGAUACUGGGAAGCUAGAGUAUGGGAGAGGAUGGUAGAAUUCCAGGUGUAGCGGUGAAAUGCGUAGAGAUCUGGAGGAAUACCGAUGGCGAAGGCAGCCAUCUGGCCUAAUACUGACGCUGAGGUACGAAAGCAUGGGGAGCAAACAGGAUUAGA
rnacentral:rRNA from 1 species